rnacentral:rRNA from 1 species
UACGUAGGGUGCAAGCGUUAAUCGGAAUUACUGGGCGUAAAGCGUGCGCAGGCGGUUCCGCAAGUCAGAUGUGAAAUCCCCGGGCUCAACCUGGGAACUUCAUUUGAAACUACGGGGCUAGAGUGUGUCAGAGGGGGGUGGAAUUCCACGUGUAGCAGUGAAAUGCGUAGAGAUGUGGAGGAACACCAAUGGCGAAGGCAGCCCCCUGGGAUGACACUGACGCUCAUGCACGAAAGCGUGGGGAGCAAACAGG